UACGUAGGGGGCUAGCGUUGUCCGGAUUUAUUGGGCGUAAAGAGCGUGUGGGCGGCCAGGUAGGUCUGCUGUGAAAACUCGAGGCUCAACCUCGAGACGUCGGCGGAAACCAUCUGGCUAGAGUCCGGAAGAGGAGAGUGGAAUUCCUGGUGUAGCGGUGAAAUGCGCAGAUAUCAGGAAGAACACCCGUGGCGAAGGCGGCUCUCUUGGACGGUACUGACGCUGAGACGCGAAAGCGUGGGGAGCGAACAGG
rnacentral:rRNA from 1 species